GCUUUACUGUGAAAUUACUAAAAACGGCAACGUGCAAGCAUUUUUUUUAUUUUUCGUUCAUCGUGAAAUUGGAAUUUUAUUUCGCGUUUGUCCGUGAACAUAACGCCUCUUUACAACCCUUCCCAAAAGUUAGACUUGAUUUGGAUAUUUUUAAUAAGAGUAAGACCUAAAAGAAAACACAUGUGUUUCCGGUACCCCUAUAUAUAUAUAUAUCUAAUUUUAAGUACCUAUAAUCUAACUCUACUCUUAAAAGGUUAUUGGAUGUUAUGUGGACAAGCACUUGUUAAGUCAGAAUUUUUCUCCCAUAUGAACCAGUC
rnacentral:lncRNA from 1 species